CUUUGGCUCACUGGGAAGCAUCCCAGGGCUCACCACACAACGCUCCUGUGCUGGGAUCAGCAGAGCUGCUCCCAGGGAUGGUCCAGAAGGGUUUGGGAAUGGUUCCUCAAGCCUGACCCUCCUUCCCCUGGGAUCUGGAGCUGGGACAGCACGGCUGGGAUCCAUCCCACCACUGUAGCUGUGUGUGACUGGAGCCACUGGUGAGCGGAGCCAGACCGUGCCGGGGUGGAAGAUGGGGGACAGAAGCACCAGGCAAGGGAAGGGACACAGCCUGCCUCAUCUUCCAAAAAUGCCUCCAAGGGAAAGGCUGUGGAGCCAGCCCUCAGGCAAGGAAAUGUCCUCAGAGCCCUUCAUGCUCCUGAGCAGCAUGGUGAAUCGGGACACCUGGUUGGUGAAUCGAGAUUUGGUUGGCGAGUUGGGACUUCUGGCCGUUGAGGACUCAGCCAGCGAUGGGCACUCUCAGCUCCAGGCAGCCGGAGCUUGUCAAGGGAAGAAAGGCUCCUUGUCUCGGGGUCGUGGCUCCGGUCCUGUUGUGUGUCUGCGAGAGAAAAGAGGACGGCCGAGAGAGGAGGACAGGCCCACUGCCGAUGCCAGCUCCCUUCCCGCAGCCCCUGCCAGCCCUUGCUGGCCACAAUGGGCCCAUCUCCCCUCCCAGCAAACCAGCCAAGCAUUGAAAUUUAAUAGCUCUGGCCUCUCUGCAUCCCAGUGAUUAGGCCUGUGAUUAAAGCCCGUGCGUUGCUUUGCUUGCUGGGAGGCAAAUUCCUCCGCAGGGCCCGUGAAAUCGGCUUCGAGCACGGUGCCCGCUCCUCGCCCUCUCCCGUGUCCGGCCAGGCACUGAUGGGAGCCCUCGGAUAACCCCGUCCAUCCCUGCAAACCUCGCUCCUCCCUCCGCUGGGAAGGACAGAGGGGAUGGGAGCCCGCGGGCUGGGGCCGGGCUGGUGGCCCCGGGGCAAACGGAGGCACAGCGAGGGACGCUGACCCCAGAGCCAGAGGGGCUCACGGCCGGCUGGAGGGGGCAGGAACGGAGGCUGUGCCCUCCCGGGGAAACAGGAGCGCGCCGGGAAGAGCUCCGUGCUGGAAGGGCAUGGCAAAGAGCAAACCCCGCCGGUGCAGGGUGACAGAAAUGCUGCAACCAGGGGGAAGAUCCUGAGGAUUCCACACCGGGAGCCCGGAGCGCUGGCACGUGGAUGAAUCCCUCUCCAGAAGAAAUCCUGCUGGAAGCAAGACGGAGCCGCGGCCGGAGGGGAGGGUGCUGGGAGUGCUGGGGGUCCCUGGGGAGAGAUCCCUGCGCCAUGCUCGACCCCAGGGGAUGGCGGCAGGGCCGGCCUGACCUUGCCAGAGCCACUGGGACAGUGGCACCGGUUCUUCUCCACGCAGAUGGAAACUGGGAGCUGGGGGGUGAUAACCCUGGGGCGUUUCAUCCCAAAUCCCACCGACACCCUGGGCAGCUCCGUUGAAGGAGCCUGUUGGAGCAGGAGUGGCUGGGAGCCAUCACCCCGUGUGCAGCCACGUUGUCUGGAGGGGCCUGAUGGGGACAGGGAUGGAGCAAACCCUGGCACAGCCCAGGCACCUCCACCAGACAUCCCAGGGUGUCCCAUCUGCUCCCAGGCGUGUCCAGGGUGGCAGGAUGUGCUGCACCCCUGGCCUGGCACAGGCAGGAAGGUGCCUGGAGAGGGUGACAAGGGGGGACCACGCACCCACCACCCCCGGGUGACGCUCAGAUGGGACCCUGUGGAAGCAGGGGCUGAAUCUCUGUCAGGAGACAUGAACGUCCAUGCUGGGAGAUCGCAGGCACCGGCAAGAGGCUUAACUU